rnacentral:tRNA from 1 species
GGCGCUAUCGUCUAUCGGUUAGGACUCAGGACUUUCAUUCCUGCAAGCGGGGUUCAACUCCCCGUAGCGCUACCA